CCAAUAGCGUAUAUUAAAGUUGUUGUGGUUAAAAAGCUCGUAGUUGAACCUUGGGCCUGGCUGGCCGGUCCGCCUCACCGCGUGUACUGGUCCGGCCGGGCCUUUCCCUCUGUGGAACCCCAUGCCCUUCACUGGGUGUGGCGGGGAAACAGGACUUUUACUGUGAAAAAAUUAGAGUGCUCCAGGCAGGCCUAUUCUCGAAUACAUUAGCAUGGAAUAAUAGAAUAGGACGUGUGGUUCUAUUUUGUUGGUUUCUAGGACCGCCGUAAUGAUUAAUAGGGACAGUCGGGGGCAUCAGUAUUCAAUUGUCAGAGGUGAAAUUCUUGGAUUUAUUGAAGACUAACUACUGCGAAAGCAUUUGCCAAGGAUGUUUUCAUUAAUCAGGAACGAAAGUUAGGGGAUCGAAGACGAUCAGAUACCGUCGUAGUCUUAACCAUAAACUAUGCCGACUAGGGAUCGGACGGUGUUAUUUUUUGACCCGUUCGGCACCUUACG
rnacentral:misc_RNA from 1 species